rnacentral:rRNA from 1 species
UACGUAGGGAGCGAGCGUUGUCCGGAAUCAUUGGGCGUAAAGAGCGUGUAGGCGGCUUGGUAGGUCCGCUGUGAAAACUCGAGGCUCAACCUCGAGAUGUCGGCGGAAACCACUUGGCUAGAGUCCGGAAGAGGAGAGUGGAAUUCCUGGUGUAGCGGUGAAAUGCGCAGAUAUCAGGAAGAACACCUAUGGCGAAGGCAGCUCUCUGGGACGGUACUGACGCUGAGACGCGAAAGCGUGGGGAGCGAACAGG